UACCCGCUGAGUUUAAGCAUAU
rnacentral:ncRNA from 2 species